rnacentral:rRNA from 1 species
ACGCUGGCGGCGUGCUUAAUACAUGCAAGUCGAGCGAAGUUUUUCUGGUGCUUGCACUAGAAAAACUUAGCGGCGAACGGGUGAGUAACACGUAAAGAACCUGCCUCAUAGACUGGGACAACUAUUGGAAACGAUAGCUAAUACCGGAUAACAGUAUUUCUCGCAUGGGAGAUAUUUAAAAGUUGGUUAUGCUAACACUAUGAGAUGGCUUUGCGGUGCAUUAGCUAGUUGGUGGGGUAAAGGCCCACCAAGGCGACGAUGCAUAGCCGACCUGAGAGGGUGAUCGGCCACACUGGGACUGAGACACGGCCCAGACUCCUACGGGAGGCAGCAGUAGGGAAUCUUCCGCAAUGGGCGAAAGCCUGACGGAGCAACGCCGCGUGAGUGAAGAAGGAUUUCGGUUCGUAAAGCUCUGUUGUUAGGGAAGAAUGGAUAUGUAGUAACUAUACAUGUACGAGACGGUACCUAACCAGAAAGCCACGGCUAACUACGUGCCAGCAGCCGCGGUAAUACGUAGGUGGCAAGCGUUGUCCGGAAUUAUUGGGCGUAAAGCGCGCGCAGGUGGUUUAAUAAGUCUGAUGUGAAAGCCCACGGCUCAACCGUGGAGGGUCAUUGGAAACUGUUAAACUUGAGUGCAGGAGAGAAAAGUGGAAUUCCUAGUGUAGCGGUGAAAUGCGUAGAGAUUAGGAGGAACACCAGUGGCGAAGGCGGCUUUUUGGCCUGUAACUGACACUGAGGCGCGAAAGCGUGGGGAGCAAACAGGAUUAGAUACCCUGGUAGUCCACGCCGUAAACGAUGAGUGCUAAGUGUUGGUCUCAUAAGAGAUCAGUGCUGCAGCUAACGCAUUAAGCACUCCGCCUGGGGAGUACGACCGCAAGGUUGAAACUCAAAAGGAAUUGACG